AUGGUACAUGCUAUGAUGACAAAGUUAAAAUCCUGCUCUGCUACGCAUAUCCACCCACACACUUCUGGGGGAAAAGAUUUCUUCAGCCUUACUGUGCUGGCCUCCAUGACAGGCAUCACAGAAUCACCUUCUGGGCUAGCCCGGAUUGGGCUCCUAGGUCCGUCAGUGAGCAGGCUGACGGAGGCCAAUUCCUUGGAGUGUUGCUUGCGUCCUAGCUGUAUGUUGAUGCAGGCUGCAAAGCACCAUGGGGAGAAAUUACCUGAAGUCAUUAUCCUAGUGAGGUCCUGUUGGCACCCCAGACACAAACUGGUAAUUGCAUGCAGACUAUAUCAACUGGGAGGCAUGCUCGAGUUUACCUUGCUGCUCCGUGGACAGAGUGAGUGUAGUUGUCCCAGCUACAACUAUCCCAUACCCUGGUGUUCAAGCUGA
rnacentral:lncRNA from 12 species